AUGAAUGGCCGAGCGGUUUAAGGUGCCAAUCUUGAAAAUUGGUGUAUCAAUUAGAUACCGGGGGUUCGAAUCCCUCUUCAU
rnacentral:tRNA from 1 species